rnacentral:rRNA from 1 species
GAUGAACGCUGGCGGCGUGCCUAAUACAUGCAAGUCGAGCGAACAGAUGAGGAGCUUGCUCCUCUGACGUUAGCGGCGGACGGGUGAGUAACACGUGGAUAACCUACCUAUAAGACUGGGAUAACUUCGGGAAACCGGAGCUAAUACCGGAUAAUAUAUUGAACCGCAUGGUUCAAUAGUGAAAGACGGUUUUGCUGUCACUUAUAGAUGGAUCCGCGCCGCAUUAGCUAGUUGGUAAGGUAACGGCUUACCAAGGCAACGAUGCGUAGCCGACCUGAGAGGGUGAUCGGCCACACUGGAACUGAGACACGGUCCAGACUCCUACGGGAGGCAGCAGUAGGGAAUCUUCCGCAAAGGGCGAAAGCCUGACGGAGCAACGCCGCGUGAGUGAUGAAGGUCUUCGGAUCGUAAAACUCUGUUAUUAGGGAAGAACAAAUGUGUAAGUAACUAUGCCCGUCUUGACGGUACCUAAUCAGAAAGCCACGGCUAACUACGUG